GUUCCCUUAUUCCAACUAGCAACGAUGCAAUAAUUGUUGUCAACUACAAUGGAACAGCUUCUGGAGGAGGAGAGCAACAAAUGAGUGACCAAAGAGAUGAGAUAUUACAUCUAUUAGCUGAACAACAAAGCACAUGUGCCAGCAGUGGACAAGACAUGGGCCAAAGUCUACAGGCUUCUGGCACUGUGGCCCUGCUUCUUCCAGCUGAGGAGUAAGAAUUUGACACCUUCGAAGCAGCAAGACCUCAUAUUCUGACAACUGCAGCCUUGUUCUACAGCUCUCAGCCAUUUGAACACGUGACAAAAAUCACA